UUCAAUUACGUACAUGCAGCUGAGUUAAGUCGUAGGUGCGAAGCGUGUUCCAGAAUUAUGGGGCGUAAAUGGCGCGCAGGCGGUCCUGUAAGUCUGAUGGGAAAGCCCACUGCUCAACCGUGGAGGGUCAUUGGAAACUGGGGGACUUGAGUGCAGAAGAGGAAAGUGGAAUUCCAAGUGUAGCGGUGAAAUGCGUAGAGAUUUGGAGGAACACCAGUGGCGAAGGCGACUUUCUGGUCUGUAACUGACGCUGAGGCGCGAAAGCGUGGGGAGCAAACAGGAUUAGAUACCCCUGUAGUC
rnacentral:rRNA from 1 species